UUUCCGUAGGUGAACCUGCGGAAGGAUCWUUA
rnacentral:rRNA from 1 species